rnacentral:rRNA from 1 species
UACGGGGGGGGGCAAGCGUUGUUCGGAAUUACUGGGCGUAAAGGGCUCGUAGGUGGCCAACUAAGUCAGACGUGAAAUCCCCAGGCUCAACCUGGGAACUGCGUCCGAUACUGGAUGGCUUGAAUUCGGGAGAGGGAUGCAGAAUUCCAGGUGUAGCGGUGAAAUGCGUAGAUAUCUGGAGGAAUACCGGUGGCGAAGGCGGCAUCCUGGACCGACAUUGACGCUGAGGAGCGAAAGCUAGGGGAGCAAACGGG